CAGUCGCCGCGGUAAUACGUAGGGUGCGAGCGUUAAUCGGAAUUACUGGGCGUAAAGCGUGCGCAGGCGGUUAUGUAAGACAGGUGUGAAAUCCCCGGGCUUAACCUGGGAACUGCGCUUGUGACUGCACAGCUAGAGUAUGGCAGAGGGGGGUGGAAUUCCACGUGUAGCAGUGAAAUGCGUAGAGAUGUGGAGGAACACCGAUGGCGAAGGCAGCCCCCUGGGCCAAUACUGACGCUCAUGCACGAAAGCGUGGGGAGCAAACAGGAUUAGAUACCCCUGUAGUCCCUGUCUCUUAUAC
rnacentral:rRNA from 1 species